GAAAGAUUUCAUACAUUCUGAACGCUGAGGCCAAAGAAGGUGCUGUUUGUCUCUAUUGGAUUCUACACUCCACACUGAAACGAUGGAACGAGCAACAGGGGAAGACUGUAAGGAUUGGCUGUGGCCACUUUGGUUCGCAUGAAGAUCAAAAUUCAGAGAUGUCAUACUUGAAGUUGAAGAGUCUUCACCAAACUGAACAUAUUCCACAUUUUCAAAAAUGUCCCC
rnacentral:lncRNA from 1 species